UAAGAGGAUUACAUCAACUCGACAGUCACCAUUUUACAUUCUAGAGAAUUAAACCUGUUUUUGACAAUAUGAAAGGACUAAACUUCUAAGUAGGUUGCUGACCAUAUAUGCCAAGAGCUUCUCUACAUGAGUGAUUUAUGUCACACACACGACUGGCCAUUCAUGGAAGUUUGCAAGAUCUUUACAUGACACUGUCAAUCUUCAGGACGUCUGCUGUGCCUUCGCCUGAGAUCUGGAGCACAAUCUGAGCUCUCCUGAAUGAGACCCACUGAAAUGGAUGUUGCUGUGCAAGAACAUUGCAAAGAACCCUUUAAGCAAUAAAAUGAAACCUCAACCACUUGGGUUGCAAAAGUGGAUUCUGGGGCAUUCAGAUUUUUCUUCCAACACACCAAAUGUGUACAAAGCAGAUGUAAUGCCAGUGCUGGGCAAAUGGUAAAACUGCCACCUUCUU